AUCCAGAUGACGAGUCCCAAAUAUGACGAGAUGCGCAUCCUGGAU
rnacentral:hammerhead_ribozyme from 1 species